GAUCAGGGUGCUGAUGAUGAUGGUGAUAGUGAGUGGAAAAUCUCAAGUUCCCCACAUCUGCCAAAGUUGGAGCAGCUGCUACUAGGAGGGCACCAGAUGCACGACUGUAAUCUCAGCACUUUGGGAGGCCGAUGUGGGCAGAUCAGAAGGUCAAGGAUCGAGACCAUCCUGGCCAACAUGGUGAAACUCUCUACAUAGCUCACCACAAUAGCUCCCCUUCCUCCCGGCUUGUUCAUCGUGAUCCACUCACACCAGCAGCUUGAAGUUCCUCAAACUCGGCGCUCAUGCUUCCACCUCCUGGCAUUUGCACUUCCUUCUCUGCUGCCUGGAACAAUCCUCCACAGAUGACACAGUGCUGUUUAUGUUGGCCAGCACCCAAUAAGCAAAUAAUGGGAAAUUGAUUAUUGAUUAUUUCCUCAUUCCCAAGUGAAAAGGAGAAAGGUAUCUCUAUUGGAGAUGAACGCAUGUUCAAUACACGUGGCCUGCCUGAGUCAUUAGCAAAGUGUCCAACCACUCUGAGGCGUAUCCUCAGAUGAAGCCUUGUCUCUGUGAAAUUCCUGGUAAGAGAAGUUGAGGCAUCAAUAGUGGAUCAGGAGGUAUUUUUAGGGGAAGAGGAGUCUCAGUAUUCAUGGAACUCAAUGAGACCUCCACCUACACAAGGCCAAGGCUGCAUAUGGAUGUAGAGAAAUAAAACUCAGAUGUUGAAAAGUAUCUGAAGAGAUGAUAGCAAAGGGAAAUUAUCUUUCAUCUUUCAGAUAAAUCGUCAUUUUAUGGAAUGCCACAGGAAGAAGUUUUCUUUACAAGUUCUGAAGACUUGUGAUGAAUGAGUCCAUAGUUUCACCUUUGAAAAUGUCCCUGGGAAUGUCAACCCCAUCACUUUUACUUAUAUUACACUCACAAUCAGUUCAUCUCGCCAACAAAAAUAAUAUUAUCCUCAUGCCCAAACUUGUGACUUGAUUUGAAAACCAGUAAAUCAGAAAUAAAACUUCCCAUGUGUUUUUUUUCUACAUGAAUCCAAGUGACUCAGAUAUUGUGUUAUUCAAUAAGACUAUUACCAUGACUCAGGUAA